GCCAGGUGUGGCAAUGUGCACCUGUAGUCCUAUCCAUGCAGGAGGCUGAGGUGGGAGGAUUGCUUGAGCCCAGGAGUUCGAGGCUGCAGUGAGCUAUGAUCACACCACUGCAUUCUAGCCUGGGUGAAAGAGCAAUACCUCGUCUCUA
rnacentral:sRNA from 1 species